GAACCCACAGCUCUGUUGGGCUUUCUUUUCUGGCAAACAUACUUAUAAAACCUCUUCUUGUUAUCCUUAACUUCUUUUGCCAGGUACAGCUCAUUCUUUUUCUUUGACUUCC